CUCUCUGUGACUCCUACGGGAGGCAGCAGUGGGGAAUAUUGCACAAUGGGGGAAACCCUGAUGCAGCCAUGCCGCGUGUGUGAAGAAGGCCUUCGGGUUGUAAAGCACUUUCAGUAGGGAGGAAGGUAGUGUAGUUAACACCUGCACUAUUUGACGUUACCUACAGAAGAAGCACCGGCUAACUCCGUGCCAGCAGCCGCGGUAAUACGGAGGGUGCGAGCGUUAAUCGGAAUUACUGGGCGUAAAGCGCAUGCAGGCGGCCUGUUAAGUCAGAUGUGAAAGCCCCGGGGCUUAACCUCGGAAUUGCAUUUGAAACUGGCAGGCUAGAGUCUUGUAGAGGGGGUAGAAUUUCAGGUGUAGCGGUGAAAUGCGUAGAGAUCUGAAGGAAUACCAGUGGCGAAGGCGGCCCCCUGGACAAAGACUGACGCUCAGAUGCGAAAGCGUGGGGAGCAAACAGGAUUAGAUACCCUGGUAG
rnacentral:rRNA from 1 species